GAUGAACGCUGGCGGCGUGCCUAAUACAUGCGAGUCGAGCGAACGGACGAGAAGCUUGCUUUUCUGAUGUUAGCGGCGGACGGGUGAGUAACACGUGGAUAACCUACCUAUAAGACUGGGAUAACUUCGGGAACCCGGAGCUAAUACCGGAUAAUAUUUUGAACCGCAUGGUUCAAAAGUGAAAGACGGUCUUGCUGUCACUUAUAGAUGGAUCCGCGCUGCAUUAGCUAGUUGGUAAGGUAACGGCUUACCAAGGCAACGAUGCAUAGCCGACCUGAGAGGGUGAUCGGCCACACUGGAACUGAGACACGGUCCAGACUCCUACGGGAGGCAGCAGUAGGGAAUCUUCCGCAAUGGGCGAAAGCCUGACGGAGCAACGCCGCGUGAGUGAUGAAGGUCUUCGGAUCGUAAAACUCUGUUAUUAGGGAAGAACAUAUGUGUAAGUAACUGUGCACAUCUUGACGGUACCUAAUCAGAAAGCCACGGCUAACUACGUG
rnacentral:rRNA from 1 species